UACGUAGGGUGCAAGCGUUAAUCGGAAUUACUGGGCGUAAAGCGUGCGCAGGCGGCUUUGCAAGUCAGAUGUGAAAUCCCCGGGCUCAACCUGGGAACUGCAUUUGUGACUGCAAGGCUAGAGUACGGCAGAGGGGGAUGGAAUUCCGCGUGUAGCAGUGAAAUGCGUAGAUAUGCGGAGGAACACCGAUGGCGAAGGCAAUCCCCUGGGCCUGUACUGACGCUCAUGCACGAAAGCGUGGGGAGCAAACAGG
rnacentral:rRNA from 1 species